GGAAAGUUAAGGAGGAAGGAGCAAUGAGUUGUGGGAAAUGGAAGGGAAAUGAAACUGUUAGAUAAGCAGGCCAGCUAAAAUUCCCUCAGGAAAAAAAAUUCAUUACAAUCUGUCUGAAUCACCGAAGAGUUUGGGGGAAGACAUUAAAACAGAAGCAGAAUCUGAGCUCACUUCAACGGACAUUAGUUGUGCCAUUUGGUGUCUGCAGGGCACUGGGCUAGGUGUCAGAGGACAGAGGUGAGGAAGAAGUCGUCCCGCCCUGAAGGAUCUCAGUCUAGUCAGAGACAAGCUGUAAAUGGAUUAGUUCAAUAUGCUGUGGUGAUGAUAGUGAAGCUUGCUCUGGAGGAUGCUGUGAGGUCCGCUCUGGAGAUAGUUGCAAAGGGCCGUGGAUUGUUGUGCUCCUGGUGGACGGCACCAUUCCUGAGAUGGCUCUCCAUCCAUUUUUCCUGCUUGGCUGUUUUCUGGAAAGUGGAGAAAAAUGAUGGAGCUCUGCCCCAAGGAUCUCCUCUCACCACGAAUGCUAACAGAGCAGACACUCUGAACCGGCGGAGACGACUCAGCAUUUCCGAGGCUAUGAAGAGGAUUCAGUGCCCUGGAGCCACUAUGGAUCAUAUUUCUCACUGCACAGAGACAGUCUGCCUGAGAAUUGGUCCACCACAGUGAGAAGCAGAGCCGAGGGAUGGAGAAGGAAGAGCUACACCAUGAUGGGACCACUGGGCUCCACCAGCAACUAAAACCAGGUCGUACUACUCCUGUAUUUUUCACUUAGAUGAACCAACAAAUCAAUUUCUUUGUCUUCCCUCCUGCCUCCCUGUCUUUUUUUCUCUUUUUUCCUUUUUUGUUAAAUUGGUUUGAAUUGAGAUGCUGACUGGUAGAGAGUCCUUACUAUACCUUCAUGAUCGUUAUUAUCACCUUAGAAAAUGCUAUGAACUUAAAAAAAAUUCCUGUAUGUUUGUAUAUCUUUGAAAUUUGUAUACACACAUUUGUGCUUGAUGAUUAGGAUGAACAUUCUUUUUCUCAUUUGUGAAUCAUGUAUUCAUGUUUUGGUCCACUUAUUUAUUAAGUUUUUAGUUUUAAAAGCAUUUGCAUAAGUUUAUUUCAUGCUGAAGAUAUAUGGGCUACAUGUUUGUGAAAAUGCUUUUCCCACAUAGUUGUUUGUUUAUGUUAUGAGUCUUUUACCUAGGGAAAUUUGCUU